GCAGGCGGGCGGGCAAUCGCGGCGGAGCGCGCGCAAGCGCGCGGCGUCGAGGAAAGUCCGGACUCCGCAGGGAAGCGUGCUGGCUAACGGCCAGGGGGCCGGCUUCACAAAGCCGGUUUACGGAAAGUGCCACAGAAAAGGUACCGCCGCAGGUGUUCGCAUCUGCGGUAAGGGUGAAAAGGUGCGGUAAGAGCGCACCGCUCCGCUGGCGACAGCGGAGGCAGGGCAAACCCCACGUGGAGCAAGGCCAAAUAGGGAAGGGAGGACUUUCCCGGUCCGCUUGAACUUCCGGGUAGGCCGCUAGAGGCCGUCAGCAAUGGCGGCUCCAGAGGAAUGAUUGCCGCCGCGAUUUCGGUCGCGGCACAGAAUCCGGCUUACAGUCCGCCUGCCACA
rnacentral:RNase_P_RNA from 1 species